rnacentral:rRNA from 1 species
UACAGAGGGUGCGAGCGUUGUCCGGAAUCACUGGGCGUAAAGGGCGCGUAGGUGGCCCGACAAGUCCGUGGUGAAAGCUCGACGCUCAACGUCGAGUCGGCCAUGGAUACUGUUGGGCUGGAGCACUGUAGAGGCUCAUGGAAUUCCGGGUGUAGCGGUGGAAUGCGUAGAGAUCCGGAAGAACACCGGUGGCGAAGGCGGGUGAGCUGGGCAGUUGCUGACACUGAGGCGCGACGAGCGUGGGGAGCAACAGGAU